rfam:Nomascus leucogenys chromosome 11, whole genome shotgun sequence.
GCUGGGCGUGAUGGCUCACGCCUGUAAUCCCAGCACUUUAGGAAGCAGAGGCGGGUGGAUCACCUGAGGUCAGGAGUUCCAGCCCGGCCAGACCAACAAGGUGAAACCCCGUCUCUA